CACCACCACCGCCAAAGGGAAGGGAAGGGUAGGGUUGCGACCAAUUUCCCCAAAAAUCCCCCACCCCACGCAGAGAGAGAGAGAGAGAGAGAGAGAGAAUUGCAAUUUGCAAGGAGAUCAAAGGAGUAUGGAUUCCUCACAGAACUCUGGUGGUAUUAUAAAUCCUCAGCAAAACAGCGAAGCAUCGACCACCGAAAGAACAGGCAACGAUCCGAAGCAAAACCUAAACCAAGUGAUCAACUCCAUACAGAAGACUCUGGGACUUAUCCACCAGCUUUACCUCACUGUCUCUUCCUUCAACGCCGCCUCCCAACUCCCCCUCCUCCAACGCCUGAAUUCGCUUGUUUUGGAGCUCGACACCAUGACUAAAAUGGUUGACAAGUGCGAUAUCCAGAUCCCCAUGGAGGUCCUCAAUUUAAUUGAUGAGGGGAAGAAUCCGGAUGAAUUCACUAGGGAUGUGUUGAAUGGUUGCAUUGCCAAAAACCAGAUCACCAAAGGCAAAACCGAUGCCUUCAAGAGUUUACGGAAGCAUCAUCUAGAGGAACUUGAACAGGCAUUUCCAGAUGAAGUGGAAUCUUAUAGGGAGAUUCGAGCUACUUCUGCAGCUGAAUCAAAACGGAUUGCACAAGCACAGAGUAUAUUACCAAAUGGAGAUGUGAAAGUCAAGCCCGAGCUAUAAGAACCAUCGUCAUUGAAGAACAAGGUUAAUUUUGUUAUUGACAACAGACCAGCGCCUCUGUCUCUCUCUCUUCAGCGUCUCUCUUCCUCUCCCUCUCCCUCUCCGUUGCUCUUCUCCCCUCCCUCUCUCACCGCCGCUCCACCAGCUGUGCCUCCACAGCUCCUCCUCACGGUCGCUGACUAAGAAAAUUUAGUAGCCAAAAGUAUAAGUUUUGGCGACUAAAAAUUUAUUUGGUCGCUGAUAUAUGGCUUUUAGCGACUAAAAAAAUUUAGUAGCCAAAAGUGAGGCAUUCAGCGACUAAAAGUCUGUUUGGUCGCCAAAAGUGAGGCUUUUACAGACUAAAAAAAUUUAGUAGCCAAAAGUAAGGCCCUUUGGCGACGAGUUCGCGUAUUGACCCGAAAUCUAGGUUGGUGAUUAGGUGUUCUUCUACACCAUUUUUUUCGGUAUUGAUAGAACUAUCACUGUUUUUCUUCAUUGAAAUCGUUUCCUGUAUAUAAUCCAGAAGAUGAGUGUAGAUCUAGUCGCCUUGAAUACCCAUGGGAAUCUCGAUGAGCAGAUUGCACAGCUCAUACAGUGCAAACCCUUGUCUGAGCCUGAGGUAAUUUAUUGGCUGUAGGUAGCAACUUGGCCGGGCAUACUUACAACAAAAUAAUUUCAAAUCCUUGCAAGAGCUUUAUUAUGCAGGAGGUUAUUUAUUUUGGUGUACGAAGAGCAUUUGUUCUGUAUAUGGAAGACAUUUAUUUUUGUACAAUCCUCUGUUUUGAAAAUUCAGUGUUUUUGUAGCGAUCUAUUCGCCAGAUUAAAAAUUGGGCUCAUUUCUUGUAUCCGCAUUCUCACUUUCUUAUGCUAUUGUAGUUGGAAAGGAGUGAUAUUUAAUUUAGAUGGAUUAUACUUGGUUGGUAUGGAUUUGUAUGAUAUUUGGAAUAUGAUGUUACAAGUUAAAGUUUUUGGAUAGUUGAUAAUGAAAUAGGUAUUAUUGAUAAUGGAUUUAGAUUAUAA